GACGAACGCUGGCGGCGUGCUUAACACAUGCAAGUCGAACGGAAAGGCGCUGCUUCUGUGGCUUGCUCGAUUGGCGAACGGGUGAGUAACACGUGAGUAUCCUGCCCUUGACUGUGGGAUAACUUCAGGAAACUGGGGCUCAUACCCCAUAGAAGCUCCUGAUGCGUGGGGGGGGUUGGAAAGUUACGGCGUUGGGGGAUGGACUCGCUGCUUAUGAGCUUGUUGGUGAGGUAGUGGCUUACCAAGGCUUUGACGGAUAGCCGGCCUGAGAGGGGGACCGGGCACAUUGGGACUGAGGUACGCACCAGACUGCUACGGGAGGCAGCAGUGGGAAAUCUUGCACAAUGGGCGGAAGCCUGAUGUAGCAACGCCGCGUGCGGGAUGACGGGCUUCUGGUUGUAAACAGAUUUCGCCUGUGACGAAGAGUGAGUGACGGUAAUGGGUAAAGAAGCAACGGCUAACUACGUG
rnacentral:rRNA from 1 species